rnacentral:misc_RNA from 1 species
AAAGUCGUAACAAGGUUUCCGUAGGUGAACCCGCGGAAGGAUCAUUAUUGAAACUUCAUCCGGGGCGCCGCGGCCCUCGGCACCGGUGGAAACGCCGUGUUGCGGGGGCCGCGCGCGCACUCGUCCAAACCAAACCCCUGUGAACCUUACGGGAUGGCCCGGGCUAGCGCCUGGUGCCGUUCCGCUUUAUACAAACACUUAUCAAAGAAUGAACUGAAGGCGGUCUGACCGCUGGAUAACAAACUGAAACAACUUUCAACAACGGAUCUCUUGGCUCUC